GCCUGGCUGGCUCAGUAGGUAGAGCAUGUGACUCUUGAUCUUGGGGUCAUGGGUUCAACCCCAUGUUGGGCA
rnacentral:tRNA from 1 species